rnacentral:rRNA from 1 species
GACGAACGCUGGCGGCGUGCCUAAUACACGCAAGUCGAGCGAGCGGAACUAACAGAUUUACUUCGGUAAUGACGUUAGGAAAGCGAGCGGCGGAUGGGUGAGUAACACGUGGGGAACCUGCCCCAUAGUCUGGGAUACCACUUGGAAACAGGUGCUAAUACCGGAUAAGAAAGCAGAUCGCAUGAUCAGCUUUUAAAAGGCGGCGUAAGCUGUCGCUAUGGGAUGGCCCCGCGGUGCAUUAGCUAGUUGGUAAGGUAAAGGCUUACCAAGGCGAUGAUGCAUAGCCGAGUUGAGAGACUGAUCGGCCACAUUGGGACUGAGACACGGCCCAAACUCCUACGGGAGGCAGCAGUAGGGAAUCUUCCACAAUGGACGCAAGUCUGAUGGAGCAACGCCGCGUGAGUGAAGAAGGUUUUCGGAUCGUAAAGCUCUGUUGUUGGUGAAGAAGGAUAGAGGUAGUAACUGGCCUUUAUUUGACGGUAAUCAACCAGAAAGUCACGGCUAACUACGUGCCAGCAGCCGCGGUAAUACGUAGGUGGCAAGCGUUGUCCGGAUUUAUUGGGCGUAAAGCGAGCGCAGGCGGAAGAAUAAGUCUGAUGUGAAAGCCCUCGGCUUAACCGAGGAACUGCAUCGGAAACUGUUUUUCUUGAGUGCAGAAGAGGAGAGUGGAACUCCAUGUGUAGCGGUGGAAUGCGUAGAUAUAUGGAAGAACACCAGUGGCGAAGGCGGCUCUCUGGUCUGCAACUGACGCUGAGGCUCGAAAGCAUGGGUAGCGAACAGGGUUAGAUACCCUGGUAGUCCAUGCCGUAAACGAUGAGUGCUAAGUGUUGGGAGGUUUCCGCCUCUCAGUGAUGCAAGCUAACGCAUUAAGCACUCCCCCCUGGGGAGUACGACCGCAAGGUUGAAACUCAAAGGAAUUGACGGGGGCCCGCACAAGCGGUGGAGCAAUGUGGUUUAAUUCGAAAGCAACGCGAAGAACCUUACCAGGUCUUGACAUCUAGUGUCAUUUGUAGAGAUACAAAGUUCCCUUCGGGGACGCUAAGACAGGUGGUGCAUGGCUGUCGUCAGCUCGUGUCGUGAGAUGUUGGGUUAAGUCCCGCAACGAGCGCAACCCUUGUUAUUAGUUGCCAGCAUUAAGUUGGGCACUCUAAUGAGACUGCCGGUGACAAACCGGAGGAAGGUGGGGAUGACGUCAAGUCAUCAUGCCCCUUAUGACCUGGGCUACACACGUGCUACAAUGGGCAGUACAACGAGAAGCGAGCCUGCGAAGGCAAGCGAAUCUCUGAAAGCUGUUCUCAGUUCGGACUGCAGUCUGCAACUCGACUGCACGAAGCUGGAAUCGCUAGUAAUCGCGGAUCAGCAAGCCGCGGUGAAUACGUUCCCGGGCCUUGUACACACCGCCCGUCACACCAUGGGAGUCUGCAAUGCCCAAAGCCGGUGGCCUAACCUUCGGGAAGGAGCCGUCUAAGGCAGGGCAGAUGACUGGGG